CACGUAGGGCGCAAGCGUUGUCCGGAAUUAUUGGGCGUAAAGAGCUCGUAGGCGGUCUGUUACGUCUGCUGUGAAAACCCGGGGCUUAACCCUGGGCUUGCAGUGGAUACGGGCAGACUAGAGGCAGGUAGGGGAGAAUGGAAUUCCAGGUGUAGCGGUGAAAUGCGUAGAUAUCUGGAGGAACACCGGUGGCGAAGGCGGCAUCCUGGACCGGUAUUGACGCUGAGGCGCGAAAGCUAGGGGAGCAAACGGG
rnacentral:rRNA from 1 species